UAAAAGAGAUGUCAUCGUUAAUACUCCACAAAAAAAAAAUUUAAUUAUACUUUCAAGUUUCUACAUCAUUUUAUUCAGAUUUUAAAUUAAUAUUUAACAAAAAGAUCUUUUGCUAUUGUAUCUUCAGUAGCUCAAGAGUAGCUAGUCAGUCAAUCGCCGAAGUUUCUGUAGGAUAUGAAAAGUUUUUCGGCCAUUAAUAUCAACCCGGAUUUGAGCAGACAAAGGACGUAUUUUGUCUGCUGAAAGCCGUAUUCAAAUAAAGCUGUCAUCCCCUAACUUAGGGCGAGGUGAGGAAUGAAUGAUUUUCAUCGUCUGAUAGGUGGGUAAUUUUUUUUUAGGAAUCAUACACAUUAAUUUCAGCAAAAUCUGAAACUGUUGUUUCAAAAAGUCAAAUCUUAAGAAUCAUGCUUACACAGACGUCUAAACAACUUAAGUCGAUUCAGAUUCAGUUGAGCUCAAAUACCAAAAAAACUGUAUUUCUUUUUUGUUUUUUUUCCAGCAACAAUACAAUUCUAUCAAUACAUGUAUGUUUGUGUUUAUAUGAAAUUAUUAGCAGAUCAGGUGCUUUUUUGUUUUUAUGUAUAUGCCUUUUAUGCUUGCUAGAAAAUUGUGGGCUGUAUUGCUUAUUUGGUUUUAUGUAUAUGAAAUUUUUGUUAGAUCCCUUAUAUAUAUAUAUGAUCUAAGGUGGGUGGGAAUCUCAAAUUAGUUUAAUCCUUAAUGCCUUUCCUUUUACAUAAUACAGUUUUUAGUUUAAUCUUUCUUUCUUUGGCUUAGAAGGCUAGUCUUGCUUAUUCUGUCCACUUCUUCCCUUGAAUCCCACAUACAAAUAUAAUUACCUAGCCAAGAGAAUCCUCAAUGAUGUUUAGAUUGAGUUUGAAAGUCUGCAAGGCUCUCUGAAGUUUGAACUGUUUCUUUAGGCACUUGGAGUUUACCACCUCCAACAUCUGCACCACAAAGUUAUUUUGAAGAGGUUUAAGACAAAAAUUGUUGCAUGAAAUAAUGAAAAUGUUAAGAAUUUUGUGUUUUAUCUGAAAAUUUGGUUUUAGUUGCUUGUUGCCCUGUUUAUGUCUCAGACAUUGUAGGUGUUGAAGCUUAGCAAACAAUAUUUUUCAUUCUCAUGUUUGAUGCGUAUCUGUAAAAUUUCUCCUGGAUAUAGUCUUACUAGGUUCUGUCCAUGAUUUGCUGUUGAAAUGAUGCAGGAGCAGCAAACAGCAAUAGAAUCUAUUAGUUUCAGGUCUUUUAUCUCAUAUUACCAGAAAAUUCAGAUUAGAAUCUGGUGCUCUCUUCUUGGUGUUUGAUUAUGAUCUCUGGAGUCAUGGAAUUAUGCAACUGUUCUUGCUAGCAUUGAUUAUAUUUCUCCCUUUGCCAACAACAUUGGGCUAAGUGGAUCCUUCAACAAUGCUUACAUAGAACAUUUGGAGUUUGUUAGUCUCUUUGAACUCUUAUUGAGGUUCCUGGAGUUCGGAAGCUCCUACAUUACACUUGAUACAAGCCACUAUGUCUGUGAUGUAGUAUAGUAAUUGCUUGGUUGAUCAACCAACACUCAACCCAAAAAUUGUUUCAUGUAAAGGAUCUUGGGUUUUAUAUGUGAACACUCAAUUUUCUUGCUUGCUGCCGAUUUGUCUGACAUUGAUCCAUUUUAUGUGGUUGGCGUGGAUUGUGGUUGUGGAAGCCUAUGUAUCAAUAUUUUUCACUCCCAAAGUUUUGAUGCUCAUCCGUAGAGUUUCUCCUGGAAUUAAACUUACUAGUUCUUUUCAUCCAAAGCGUGGAGGUGAUACAGGAGCACAAACAGCAACAGAAUAGGUUCAACUUCAGGUCCUGUAUAGAGAUUAUUCAUGUAACUUGAAAAUUCAGGUAGAAUGCAGGGCUCUCUUCCUGGUGUUUAUAUCUGGUUCUUAAACAUUCUUUAUGAUCUGAUCAUGAUUCAGGUAUAGCCAUUCACUUCAUUCAUUUCUCUAGUCUUGCUGUCUAGGCCUUCUGGUUAACCAAUUGAGCGUUCCCACGCUCUAACCUCAGUAUUUUAUUUUUUUCUCCAACCUAACCUGCCCAUAAUUCCAACACUAUAUCCUCUACUGUGCUUGGGAUGACAUAUGAUCUUUGAAGUGGCAGAAUUAUGCAACUCUUCUUGCUAGCAUUGCUUAUACUCCUUUUUCCCAAUAACGUUUGGUUAAAUGGAUCCCUUAACAAUGCUUACAAUGAACAUUUGGAGUUUGUUAGUCUCUUUGAACUCUUUUGAAGUUCCUGGAGUUCAGAAGCUACUACACUGCACGCGAUACGAGCCACUUCUUUGGUGACCUAUAGAUUGCUCCCUCUCUAUUUUCCUCUCAAGAUUGUCUUUGCUGGUCAUCAAGUAAGUGGUAGAGGAAGGCCCUUUUUGUUGUUCUUUGGAUAAUUGGGUCCUGGCUUUAUUUAUGUAAUUCCAAGUAACGAUCUAUAGAUUAUUAUAAUUAUCUGUUUUGUCAUUAGUGAUUUUGGACAAUUCAUGAGUUGAAAGGUAGGACAAGUUGCCAGUCCUGUGCAACACUAAUCACCCUGCUUUGUUUUAUUGCCUUUGAUUGAUGAUUCUGAAUCACUUUUUCUUCCUUUUCUCUAUAACAUGCUACAGUUCCCUUAUUCUGGUUAGGGGCCAAAGUACAUGAAUAAGUACAAACUCUGUUUUACUAAUUUUAUUUGAUUGCAUUUUAAUCCAUUUCGUAACUAUUUCAGGCUGUUGUUAGUUGAAACCUAGGGUCUAUGAAAUUCAUGUAAACUUCAUUUAACUUUAUUUAGUUUCUUAUGCAAUUGCAGCAACCGUGGCUUGAACGCAAGAUCUCUACCGGCAUCCUAUACCCCCUACCACCUGCAGUAGGCUUUGCUAAUUUACUUUUUAACCCUUUUUGUCACCAUAUGCAGGUAACUGUUAAGUGAAAGCUAAGCGCUUUAUCUGCUGGCCUAUUGUAUGAAGCUUAAGGAUCAAGACUUGAUGUUCUCAAUUCAGCCCUGAAUGAAUGUUAUCACUCUGCUGUAGAUCAUUUUCUUUUAG